AUCAUCCUACAUAUUACAUUGAAAUAUUGUCCAUCAUACAAACAGUGUUCAUCAAACCCAAUAAAAAGAUACUCCGAGGGAAAGGACAACGACAACUUGUAGUUUGUUCCUUCAAAGACGGUAUCUUUGCUGCCAUAUAACAAGUGAUGCCACAUGCUAACCGGAACCGGCGGUUCAAUCCCGGACAGUUGAUCGUGGGCCAGCCCAGCGGUUCGGCCCGAAAAUCGGCGGUUUCAGCACGGCAGACGAGGUGGCAACGCGGUAGGACGAGCGGUCUCCAAGGCAGAAACCGCCGGUUUUGGGCGGUUAACUAGCGGUUUCAACUGGAAAACCGCCGGUUUCGGCCUAAAACCGACGGUUUCCCCGAAUUUAAUUUAUUUUUUGGGAAAAUGUGCAGAUUGGCCCCCGAAGUAGUAACCCCUAUAGCGUAUAACCCCUCUUACUCACUGUUACUCACUGUGUGUGCAACUAAACCCCUGAACUCCGAGAAAAGGGUGCAAAUUCCCCCCUCUGACUAACGCUGUUAAGUGUCCGUUAACGUUUGGGUUUAAUUGCACCCUCUACUUCAGGGGUGGAUCUGCACCUUAAUUUUAUUUUUAUUUUUUUUAUAAUUUCAGCAACCCACCUUCGGCAUCAACUUAACCGCCCCCGUACUCAUCGAUUCUGACUUGCACCUUGUCAGCUCGCAUGCGCCCAAUCUCUUGGUUGUCGACUGCCCACCGCUUACAUGCAGCAACGUCACCAGCUUCUUCACCGCCCCGCACAACAGCAUCUCCUCCAACACCUUAACCUUUUAG
rnacentral:lncRNA from 1 species